rnacentral:rRNA from 1 species
ACAUGCUUACAACAUAACGGUAAUUCACCAGAUCCAAUUAGAAAUUUGCAGUUAAGCGCGCUCAGGGUAGAGUAGUACUGGGAUGGGUGACCGCCCGAGAAGUCCUAGUAUUUUACAUGCU